rnacentral:sRNA from 1 species
UCUGGUUUUAAGAGCCUGUCCAUGGUGGAAGGUUCAAAAAUUUCUCGCUGAUUUCAGGAGCUUAUUGUAUGCGUA